GCGAGAGUGGCGGAAUCAGGCAGACGCACUGGGUUUAGGGUCCAGCGGGUAAACCGUGGGGGUUCGAGUCCCCCCUCUCGCA
rnacentral:tRNA from 1 species